AGUCGAGCGGACCUUUUAAAAGCUUGCUUUUGAAAGGUCAGCGGCGGACGGGUGAGUAACACGUGGGCAACCUGCCUGUAAGACUGGGAUAACUUCGGGAAACCGGAGCUAAUACCGGAUAAUAUAAGGAACCUCCUGGUUCUUUAUUGAAAGAUGGUUUCGGCUAUCACUUACAGAUGGGCCCGCGGCGCAUUAGCUAGUUGGUGAGGUAACGGCUCACCAAGGCGACGAUGCGUAGCCGACCUGAGAGGGUGAUCGGCCACACUGGGACUGAGACACGGCCCAGACUCCUACGGGAGGCAGCAGUAGGGAAUCUUCCACAAUGGACGAAAGUCUGAUGGAGCAGACGCCGCGUGAGCGAUGAAGGCCUUCGGGUCGUAAAGCUCUGUUGUUAGGGAAGAACAAGUGCGAGAGUAACUGCUCGCACCUUGACGGUACCUAACCAGAAAGCCACGGCUAACUACGUGCCAGCAGCCGCGGUAGUACGUAGGUGGCAAGCGUUGUCCGGAAUUAUCGGGCGUACAGCGCGCGCAGGUGGUCCUUUAAGUCUGAUGUGAAAGCCCACGGCUCAACCGUGGAGGGUCAUUGGAAACUGGGGGACUUGAGUGCAGAAGAGGAAAGUGGAAUUCCAAGUGUACCGGUGAAAUGCUUAGAGAU
rnacentral:rRNA from 2 species